UAGGGAAUCUUCGGCAAUGGGGGCAACCCUGACCGAGCAACGCCGCGUGAGUGAAGAAGGUUUUCGGAUCGUAAAGCUCUGUUGUAAGUCAAGAACGGGUGUGAGAGUGGAAAGUUCACACUGUGACGGUAGCUUACCAGAAAGGGACGGCUAACUACGUGCCAGCAGCCGCGGUAAUACGUAGGUCCCGAGCGUUGUCCGGAUUUUAUUGGGCGUAAAGCGAGCGCAGGCGGUUUGAUAAGUCUGAAGUUAAAGGCUGUGGCUCAACCAUAGUUCGCUUUGGAAACUGUCAAACUUGAGUGCAGAAGGGGAGAGUGGAAUUCCAUGUGUAGCGGUGAAAUGCGUAGAUAUAUGGAGGAACACCGGUGGCGAAAGCGGCUCUCUGGUCUGUAACUGACGCUGAGGCUCGAAAGCGUGGGGAGCGAACAGGAUUAGAUACCCUGGUAGUCCACGCCGUAAACGAUGAGUGCUAGGUGUUGGAUC
rnacentral:rRNA from 1 species